UUGACAUUUUACAUUUUUCGACUUCAGCAUAGUUGGUAUGCUGAAUAGAGCCAAUCAUUCAACACUGUGUAUGUGACUAUGCUUGUGUCCCUCUGACAGAACCAAUAUACUUGUGACAGGUAACACGAUCGGCCAUUUGCUGAUCUGACAUAUGCGAUAAAGGUCUACGACCAAAAUGCAAUACACGCCACGCCACGCCACACUGUGUGGAGACGAUAGACUCGGACUUACUGCAUACAUUGCAUCCUCACGGAUCAGAGACAGUUUUCAUCCAAGAUGGCGUCCUACAGACUGGUGUAUGUCCUGCUAACGAUGGCUCUUCUUGGCAGUGCUCUGUGCCGUAUGAUGAAACUCACAAGGGGCAAGGUCGUGGAUGACAAAGACUGCGCGGCCACAGGCAACAGCUACAGCAGCAUCGACUGUGCACGUCGGUGCAUGUUUCAGAAAACAUGUAAGGCUUUUGUACGGUUGUGCAAGAAUGACCACAUGGUGUGCCCGUGUAAGCUCUGCUACAAAGACGUUACGCUGAAGACUGGGGAUGGGUUGUAUGGUGUCAUGUCACGCCGGUAAGCGCUCAUGACUAAACCGGACCCUGAGAUUGUAUAGGACCUCCCAGGGAGGCUACACUGUAACAUUCUCGUCGCCGUGUACGUUCAGCUGGGCAUGGCAUCCGGGUAUCUAAAUAAAUGGUCACAGCAUA